rnacentral:misc_RNA from 1 species
UCCGGCUUAUCACCGGCGGUUCCUUUAGAGUGCCCAACUAAAUGAUGGCAACUAAAGGCGAGGGUUGCGCUCGUUGCGGGACUUAACCCAACAUCUCACGACACGAGCUGACGGCAGCCAUGCAGCACCUAUGUUCCAGCCAGCCGAACUGAAGAAAGGUGUCUCCACCGAUCAUACUGGACAUGUCAAACGUUGGUAAGGUUCUGCGCGUUGCUUCGAAUUAAACCACAUGCUCCACCGCUUGUGCGGGCCCCCGUCAAUUCCUUUGAGUUUCAUUCUUGCGAACGUACUCCCCAGGUGGGAUACUUAUCACUUUCGCUUAGCCACUCAGAUUGCUCCGAACAGCUAGUAUCCAUCGUUUACGGCGUGGACUAC